UAACAAUCCAAAAGAUAGAAGAGUGAAGGAAAACAUAGAGAGAAUGGGCAUUUACAGUAGAUUGCCAAUACCUAAUGAAGGAAUCUCACUGCAAUCUGUGUACUUUUCCCACUUUGAUGUCAGAAAAAGGGAGAAAUGUUUUUUUCUGGGCUCGCUUCCCUCCAAGACAACUUUCUCACAGAAAACUGGCACAGGAAAUAUGGUAUUCUCCACACAAGCUGGAAAACUAUGUUGUUAGUUCUGAAGGCUUUCAUCUUGCAAGUUCCCUUUGUUAAAACAAAACUAGUAGGUAACAGCUUGGUGGGAAAAAUCCAGGUUGAAUUUUGCAUGGAAAGAUGGUAGAGGGAGUACACACUGUGCAUCAAGCAUAUACAGAGAAGAAACACUAUAGGUUGGGGGUUUUUUUGUUCAUAAUGUCCCACUCAGUUCGCAAUCAAAUAGGAUAUUAGCUGUAUAAAUACAAGCAAAUACAGGCAUCAGUGGCACUAAAGAAGUAAUAAUCUUUCAUUAAAAAAACAACCCUACCACCCCCUCCCAAAAAAGACAGACAAACAAAAACCCACAAAGGACAGCAGCGCUGUGCCUCUCAACUCCUCAGAAUCCCAUUCAAGCAGCUACCGCUUCUGCACACAACAGUAGAGCCAACAUAAUUAAAAAAGUGGUUUAGUACAAAAGCUUCUCUAACCUAGAAGGUCAAGCUGAAACCCUGCUUAGGUCAAAAGGGACAAUGAAAUGUCAGAUCUCUUCCUGUCACUCAGGUUUCAUUAUAAGACUACCACUCCUUGAGUAAUCAUUCAGCUUAUCUGUUAAUUCUCGGCAAAAAAAGACCCCAAACUGGAACAAAUCAGAGUACACUUUGGCCAACACAGCAAGCAUUGGCAGAGCUGAAUGCCAAACAUAGCAAUUACUUCUCAAUACUUCUGAUCUAGGUCGCUUGCAAGCUAAGUAGUUUUUUUACAUGAGCACUACAUUCAUGAAGCAGGAACAAAAAAAAACCUGCCACUUCACCUCCAAAUGAGAUCACUCAUGAAGAGAUUAGACAGCAUUGGGCCCCAUACGGAUCCUGGUGGACCCCACUAGUGACAGGUUGCCAGUUGGAAAAGGAGCUAUUUGCCACCACCCUCUGGGUGUGUCCGGUCAGCUAGUUCCCACUCACCACAUAGACCACUUGUCUAGACCAUAACACGUCAUUUUCUCUAGGAGGAGGCUGUGGGAAACUGUAUUGAAAGCCUUGGAGAAAUCCAGGUAGACACUGUCCACUGCUCACCUCACAUCAACUCAGCAGGUUACUUAGUUGUACUUUAUGAAUCCCUGCUGGCUUUUCCCAGUAACUUCAUUUGACUUAUGAUAGCCCCCAGGAGGAUUCAUUCCAUAACUUUCCCAGGGACUGAAGUAAGACUGAUGGGCCUAAAAUUUCCUGGAUCGUCCUUUAAGCUCUUCUUGUAGAUGGGGAUGACAUUUGCCUUCCUCCAGUCUUCUGGGAUGUCCCCCAAUCUCAAUGACUUCUCAAAGAUUAUGGAGAACAGCCUUGCAACAGUAGCCAGGUCUCUUAACACCCUCAAGUGUCAGUGCCCAUAGAUUUGUAGGGGUCAAGCUCCUGUAAUAGUUCAGAUACCAAGUCUUCCUUCACUGAUGGUGGGUCUAUAUUUGCACCAGCCUGGAUUUUUGUUCCCAGGUCCUGCAGCCCAUCAAUGCUGCUAAAGACAUGAGGUGAAGAAAGUGUUGAGAAUCUGUGCCUUUUCAGUGCUGUUGGUGACUAAUUCAUCCCUCUUGCUUAACAGAAGGCAAAUAUAUUCCUUCUGUUUCUGCUUGUUGUUUACCUACCUGAAGAACCCUUUCUUAUAGUUUUUGACAUCUCUGGCCAAUUUCAAAUUGAGCUGAGUUUUUGCUUUUCUAACUGAUUUUCUAAUGCAUCUCUGCAUACCCUGACAAUGCCCUUGUAGUUCUCAACAGGUAUUCAUCUGUGUUUCCAUCUCUGGCAAACUUCUCUUUUGGUUUUGAACAGACUCAGAAGCUCGCAGUUAAGCCAAGGGGGUCUCUUGCUCUGCCUACUUCCCCUGCCUUUAAAGAGGGUAGACUGGUUUUGUGCUUCUAGGAGAGUUCAUUCUUGAAAAUUUCCUAGGACUUGCUAGUUCCUUUAUCCUCCAUGGAAGCUUCCCAUGGAAUCCUCUCCCUUGGAUUCCUCUGCCUAUGGGGACUCCCUGUCCACCACAAUCCAGCUCCCAGCCAUGGGACCUACCACUGCCACAGCUGCGUGCCUCGCCAACUGAGCUGCGCAACACCACUCUGUUACAUGUUACCUGCCCACUCAGGAUAGAAGCCUGGAAACCACACUAUGGCUUCAAGUUAUCUUAAUGGUAACAAGGCAUUAUUAUCAUUAAGCGUUGGUCACCCUGCAUAGCAGCUCUGCAAUAGCGAUCAUUUGGAACAUGCUUUCUCUAGGCAUCAAUGCAUUUCUCCAUUCUUCCUUAAAUAAAACACGACCCAAAACAACAGCAUUAUUUAACUUAUGUUUCAUUUUGAGUAACUAUUCUGAUAUGACAAUGUUACCAGAAAUAAUUCUCUUUAUAGUACUGCAAUCCAGAGAAAUAAUGUUAGCAGAUGUACUCAUCAAUAAUCAUGAAACAGUAAAUUUAGCUGGAUGCCUGUUUCUUGCAUUAUCAAGCAACUUAAAUGUUAAUGUAGUAAAGCCACAAGGUCAAUGUGAAUGCCAGUACCAUCAUCCUUUUUUCACAGAGAACUGAAGCACAGGCAGGUUAAGUAACAUGCCCAAGAUGACAAAAAAAAAAAAAAAAAAAAAAAAAAAG
ensembl:lncRNA